AAAUUGAAGAGUUUGAUCAUGGCUCAGAUUGAACGCUGGCGGCAGGCCUAACACAUGCAAGUCGAACGGUAACAGGAAACAGCUUGCUGUUUCGCUGACGAGUGGCGGACGGGUGAGUAAUGUCUGGGAAACUGCCUGAUGGAGGGGGAUAACUACUGGAAACGGUAGCUAAUACCGCAUAACGUCGCAAGACCAAAGAGGGGGACCCUCGGGCCUCUUGCCAUCGGAUGUGCCCAGAUGGGAUUAGCUUGUUGGUGGGGUAACGGCUCACCAAGGCGACGAUCCCUAGCUGGUCUGAGAGGAUGACCAGCCACACUGGAACUGAGACACGGUCCAGACUCCUACGGGAGGCAGCAGUGGGGAAUAUUGCACAAUGGGCGCAAGCCUGAUGCAGCCAUGCCGCGUGUAUGAAGAAGGCCUUCGGGUUGUAAAGUACUUUCAGCGGGGAGGAAGGGAGUAAAGUUAAUACCUUUGCUCAUUGACGUUACCCGCAGAAGAAGCACCGGCUAACUCCGUGCCAGCAGCCGCGGUAAUACGGAGGGUGCAAGCGUUAAUCGGAAUUACUGGGCGUAAAGCGCACGCAGGCGGUUUGUUAAGUCAGAUGUGAAAUCCCCGGGCUCAACCUGGGAACUGCAUCUGAUACUGGCAAGCUUGAGUCUCGUAGAGGGGGGUAGAAUUCCAGGGUGUAGCGGUGAAAUGCGUAGAGAUCUGGAGGAAUACCGGUGGCGAAGGCGGCCCCCUGGACGAAGACUGACGCUCAGGUGCGAAAGCGUGGGGAGCAAACAGGAUUAGAUACCCUGGUAGUCCACGCCGUAAACGAUGUCGACUUGGAGGUUGUGCCCUUGAGGCGUGGCUUCCGGAGCUAACGCGUUAAGUCGACCGCCUGGGGAGUACGGCCGCAAGGUUAAAACUCAAAUGAAUUGACGGGGGCCCGCACAAGCGGUGGAGCAUGUGGUUUAAUUCGAUGCAACGCGAAGAACCUUACCUGGUCUUGACAUCCACGGAAGUUUUCAGAGAUGAGAAUGUGCCUUCGGGAACCGUGAGACAGGUGCUGCAUGGCUGUCGUCAGCUCGUGUUGUGAAAUGUUGGGUUAAGUCCCGCAACGAGCGCAACCCUUAUCCUUUGUUGCCAGCGGUCCGGCCGGGAACUCAAAGGAGACUGCCAGUGAUAAACUGGAGGAAGGUGGGGAUGACGUCAAGUCAUCAUGGCCCUUACGACCAGGGCUACACACGUGCUACAAUGGCGCAUACAAAGAGAAGCGACCUCGCGAGAGCAAGCGGACCUCAUAAAGUGCGUCGUAGUCCGGAUUGGAGUCUGCAACUCGACUCCAUGAAGUCGGAAUCGCUAGUAAUCGUGGAUCAGAAUGCCACGGUGAAUACGUUCCCGGGCCUUGUACACACCGCCCGUCACACCAUGGGAGUGGGUUGCAAAAGAAGUAGGUAGCUUAACCUUCGGGAGGGCGCUUACCACUUUGUGAUUCAUGACUGGGGUGAAGUCGUAACAAGGUAACCGUAGGGGAACCUGCGGUUGGAUCACCUCCUUACCUUAAAGAAGC
rnacentral:rRNA from 1 species